UGAGUAGAGCGGCGCACGGGUGAGUAACGCGUGGAUAAUCUACCCUUGAGAUCGGGAUAACAGUUGGAAACGACUGCUAAUACCGGAUACCCUGCAUAUUUAACUUUAUGUGGAAAAGAUGGCCUCUAUUUAUAAGCUAUCGCUUGAGGAUGAGUCCGCGUCUCAUUAGAUAGUUGGUGGGGUAAUGGCCUACCAAGUCAACGAUGAGUAGCUGGUCUGAGAGGAUGAUCAGCCACACUGGGACUGAAACACGGCCCAGACUCCUACGGGAGGCAGCAGUGGGGAAUAUUGCGCAAUGGGGGAAACCCUGACGCAGCGACGCCGCGUGUAGGAAGAAGGCUUUCGGGUCGUAAACUACUGUCAGGAGGGAAGAAACUACAUUAGUAUAAUACGCUAGUGUACUGACGGUACCUCCAGAGGAAGCACCGGCUAACUCCGUGCC
rnacentral:rRNA from 1 species